GGAGUGUGGGUGAGACCCCUAGGGAAGGCUGCGGAAGGUCACUCAGUGACACCAAUAUUUUCAUUCCAAUGCCCUAUUGGAUGCAGCCAAAGACGGAUGGUGGGAGCAUGAGUUCCAGGGAUAUUUACUUUUAAGAUAUUGACAUCACUGCUAUUGUCUGGGUGGCCUUGGGUCAUGACUCAACCUCUCUGAGCUGCCGUGAACCACGGAAUUCCUUACUCCUGCCCAGCAGGAAGUUGGGCUGCAGAGCUGUUAAGUUCUCCUAUCAGUUGGGAGGUGAUGGGUCAGGGAAGCUUAGGGGAGCCGGGUGUUGGCAGGAACUGGGGUCAGCUGCCACAUUUCCUCUGGUCUGGAUCCGACGGGGCUGACCAAGAGCACAGAGCCCUGUUGUCCUGCAGAGUGAUGGCCAGCCCUGCAGUGCGUCUUGACGGGGCACUCGGCUGCAGGGGUGGGGGAGUGAAUUGUCCAGGUUCUCAUGGGACCACGACUCCUGACCUCUUUUGUUCAUUUAACAGACAUUUAGGUGCUCUUAGUAUGUGCCAGACACUGUGCGGAGCUGGAGAUGUCCCUGAGAACAUGACAGGUCAGAGAGGAGAAUCUAGUGGGCACAGGGGCCAUAAAUAAAGAAACCGAUUAAUACAGAGAAAUUUCAGAGUGUGACAAGUAUUACGAAAAAAGUCAACCAGCCAUGUGAUAAGAAGUCCAGGUAGAAGAUGCCAUGAGUACAAAGGUCCUGAGAUAGGAAGAAGCUCAAUGUGACUGGUGUGUCAGAGGAUGACCAGAGUGAAGGGAGAGUGA
rnacentral:lncRNA from 1 species